AUUGGAUAGGGAUAAAUCUUGCUUCAGCUGGAAGUCAUUUGUACUCUUCCUCAGACAAAUCAGAAUCGGUGGCUCAUGUGAGCACACCAAAGGUGAUCUUGCUUACUCCGCUCGGGUGUAGGUGCUGAAGUCCAGCUGCUAACAUAUUUAAGGGAAGUACCUGGAGGCGUCUGCUGUGCUUUGAUGGAGAACAAGGUCACAAAUAAAGAACUGCCCAGAGAAUGGAAAAAUGAGAAUUCAAGGUGUGGUCCAUUAACAAAAGGUCGUCAGGGCUUUCCAAAAUUCCACUAGGAAAUUUGGGUAAGGAUGGGUGGGGGUUCCACCACAUCUGAAAAUUUCUUUUGGGUUACCUAGUCAAAUGGGUUUCCCCAAAGUUGUGUCUACACAGCAAAUAAAUUCAGAGGAGGGAAAAAAAUUAAAUCAGUCAAGCAAUAGUUAUUCCAAGUACAAGCAGUAACACUGGAUCAUAAAAAGUCUAGAAAUUACCAGAUAUUCAAAUUAGUAGUUGUUCGACAAGACACAUUUCUAGGAGGUGUUUUGCGCGUUGGGUGGGGAGGUCCUUGUUUUGCUAAAUCUUCCUUGAGUGUGUUUGAGUUGUCACUCAGUAACUCACUUGUUGCACUUUUCCAGAGGUUGGAAGAGGAAGGAAUUGCUGACUAGUGAUGACCCAUCCCUGGAAAUCCUGUCUCUAGUAGUCCUAACAGCCCAACAACAUGGAGAUUUGCUCAGCCGUCCAGGGGAAGAAAAGCUGGGGCGAGGCAUGAGGAAUCAAAGGCUUUCUCAUCUAGUGGUCCUUCUAGUUCUGAGUCCAGGAUGCUGUUGGACUUCAGUGACUUUCAGACAUUUGAAUUCAGUCACGUAGGAACAACUUGCUUAAAGGACUUUAUGGCUGACUCCAUAAAGAAUGUUCACUAGCAAUUGAGCCAUCACAGAUGUGCUGAUGAAGACUUUUCUGGAAACCAGAUUUGGAGAAAUCUGAACCGUGGCAGUUAAGCAUUAAAGGAGCAUAUUAUUAAGGGAACCAGUGGUUACUCUACUAACAAAAUAAAAUCUCUUUCUUCAGAUAAAGAAAGUUAUAU
rnacentral:lncRNA from 1 species